rnacentral:rRNA from 1 species
AUUGAACGCUGGCGGCAGGCCUAACACAUGCAAGUCGAGCGGAUGAAGGGAGCUUGCUCCUGGAUUCAGCGGCGGACGGGUGAGUGAUGCCUAGGAAUCUGCCUGGUAGUGGGGGAUAACGUCCGGAAACGGGCGCUAAUACCGCAUACGUCCUGAGGGAGAAAGUGGGGGAUCUUCGGACCUCACGCUAUCAGAUGAGCCUAGGUCGGAUGAGCUAGUUGGUGGGGUAAAGGCCUACCAAGGCGACGAUCCGUAACUGGUCUGAGAGGAUGAUCAGUCACACUGGAACUGAGACACGGUCCAGACUCCUACGGGAGGCAGCAGUGGGGAAUAUUGGACAGUGGGCGAAAGCCUGAUCCAGCCAUGCCGCGUGUGUGAAGAAGGUCUUCGGAUUGUAAAGCACUUUAAGUUGGGAGGAAGGGCAGUAAGUUAAUACCUUGCUGUUUUGACGUUACCAACAGAAUAAGCACCGGCUAACUUCGUG